rnacentral:rRNA from 1 species
AUACGUAGGGAGCGAGCGUUGUCCGGAAUUACUGGGCGUAAAGGGCGCGUAGGCGGGAAAUUAAGUCAGGUGUGAAAACUCCGAGCUCAACUUGGAGAUUGCACUUGAAACUGGUAUUCUUGAGGGCAGGAGAGGAAAGUGGAAUUCCUAGUGUAGCGGUGAAAUGCGUAGAUAUUAGGAGGAACACCAGUGGCGAAGGCGACUUUCUGGACUGCACCUGACGCUGAGGCGCGAAAGCGGGGGUAGCGAACAGGAUUAGAUACCCUGGUAGUCCACGCCGUAAACGAUGUGCACUAGGAGGUGGGUAGCAGUAUUCACUUCCGUAGCUAACGCGAUAAGUGCACCGCCUGGAGAGUAUGCUCGCAAGGGUGAA